rnacentral:lncRNA from 1 species
GGGAAACCAUUAUCUUGGAAUUAUUUGUAAUACGGCUAUUCCACGUUCUCGGUGCUUGCUUCAAGCCAUAUAACGCUUUAUUCAGCUUCAAAACAUUAAAAUGCAAAAUGAAAACCACUCAAAAGACAAAAAAAAAUAAAAAAUAAAAAAAAAAUCAGACUCAUCAAAACAACAUAAUCUUUUUGAAUGAAAGACUUAUGUGCAACAUGAAAUUGCAAAUUGCAAAUAACAAAAAGGAAAAAGAGACUUACCCCCAAAACACAGGUGAUUGCAAAAUGCAACAAUAAACAACAUCUCACCCCAAAUCCCUUGCCGCCAGCCUUAGCUCCGCCACAAACCCUAGGGUCUUCGCCACCGCCGUAAUGAACCCAAUCAAUGGAGUGCAACCAGUAAAAGUCGGCGAGGAUGGUGGGGCCCAAGACGGAGAUACUAUGGGGGAGGGAACGGAAGGUGGAUUCCAAACGCCCUUGAAGACGUGCAUCAAAUCUGGUGGGUCUGUUGCCGUAGAACCACUACUGAAGAUCAGGACGAGAAAUUUCUGAAUUGCCUUACCGUAUCAAUCUUCGCCACCUUCAACCUCUCAUACGCCACUCGCCUUCUU